GGUUUCAUGGUGUAAUGGUUAGCCCUCUGGACUUUGAAUGCAGCGAUCCGAGUUCGAAUUUCAGUAGGACCU
rnacentral:tRNA from 1 species